rnacentral:rRNA from 1 species
AUGUCCAUGGCUGAAUAUCUUGGCAAAAUCAAAACCCUUACAGAUGAGAUCGCAUGCUGCACCGGAGUCCCUCUUCCUGAUCCCGAGAUCGUCUCCAAGAUCAUGGCUGGACUCGACCUGGACUACAAUCCAGUCGUGUCCGCGUUGUCCGCUAGGGUUGAGCCGGUUUCGGUUCAGGAACUGUACAGCCAGCUCUUGAGUUUCGACGCUCUCCUUGCGCUCCUUCACGGCACCAACACCAGACAAUCUUCUGUCAACUCGGCGGCUCGCGGGCGCGGACAUGGACGCGGUCACCAAGGCCAGGGCCGCAACGGCGGCGGCCGUGGUCGCGGCAACUACCAGGGCGAGGGCGCUCGUCCUGGUGGUGGCAGCAAUUCAGGAGGCGGCGGCUACAACAACAACGCAGGAGGCGGCGGCUUCAACAACAACAACAGCCGCCGUGCUUCUUCGAAUCGCCGUUCUCGCUGUCAACUGUGCACAAUGUUGGGGAUAUAG